AGUGAACGCUGGCGGUAGACCUAACACAUGCAAGUCGAACGGCAGCACAGUAAGAGCUUGCUCUUACGGGUGGCGAGUGGCGGACGGGUGAGGAAUACAUCGGAAUCUACUUUUUCGUGGGGGAUAACGUAGGGAAACUUACGCUAAUACCGCAUACGACCUACGGGUGAAAGCAGGGGAUCUUCGGACCUUGCGCGAUUGAAUGAGCCGAUGUCGGAUUAGCUAGUUGGCGGGGUAAAGGCCCACCAAGGCGACGAUCCGUAGCUGGUCUGAGAGGAUGAUCAGCCACACUGGAACUGGGACACGGUCCAGACUCCUACGGGAGGCAGCAGUGGGGAAUAUUGGACAAUGGGCGCAAGCCUGGUCCAGCCAUACCGCGUGGGUGAAGAAGGCCUUCGGGUUGUAAAGCCCUUUUGUUGGGAAAGAAAAGCAGCAGGUUAAUACCCCGCUGUUCUGACGGUACCCAAAGAAUAAGCACCGGCUAACUUCGUG
rnacentral:rRNA from 1 species